CCAAGGGUAGGGGCCACAACGCAAUAAAUGUAAGAUAGUGCAGCACUAAUUUCCCUCCAGUCCCCAGCCAUCGUUUCUUUUCAUUUAUAGCACAAUUCAAGCAAAAAUGAUUUCUUCCAUUUUCAUCAGAGAUUAAAAAAAAAAAAAAGUUGAAGAUAAAAGCACAAUCAAUACCAAUCCAAGCCCUAGAAUUCUUUGCAGCCUGUAUUAAACCUUGCUCCUUGUUCUUACUGGAUUAUCUUUGGUUCUCUAGAAUCUAACUCGCAUAGAAAUUAAACAGAUUGCAACAUCACUGUUUGCCAAUUCACCUUUCACUGAAGGAAAGCCGAAUGGUUAUCUUUGUAAGAGAAGGUUUGAAGAGUAUGUAGAUUAUGCGCUUGAUGUGACGAUGUAUUUUGUUUGUCAAAAAAAGAAGUAUAUUGACUGUACUGGAAUGUCAGGAUUUCAUGUCAGGAAAACUGGCUCCAAUUCCAGGCGAAUUGCCAACCUUGAAUGAUUGGGAGAAUCAUCUGACAACAAUAUUUCCCGAGGUCAUGUUGAAGAGAUACUUGGAGAUAAGGGGUGCUGAUGGAGGACCGUGGAGGAGGUUAUGUGCAUUGCCUGUAUUUUGGGUAUUUUGCCUCUUUUAUCCGUAUAUAUAGUCAAUCGAUUUGUACAGAACUUGUCAGUACUCAUAAGGGGAGAAUAAGAAUUGAUGUUGCGAAGAUUGUUAUAAAAUGAUGUAAUCUACUGAUGCAUUAAUGAAUCUAGAUAUUAUGCAAUUUACAAUGUAUCCUAAAUUCAUUGCAGAGAUAUUCUACAUUAGUUGGUCAAUGCUAAUAUAACUUUAAGUUUAUAUUAA